rnacentral:rRNA from 1 species
GAUGAACGCUGGCGGCGUGCUUAACACAUGCAAGUCGAACGGGGAUUAUUUUAUUGAAACUUCGGUCGAUUUAAUUUAAUUCUAGUGGCGGACGGGUGAGUAACGCGUGGGUAACCUGCCUUAUACAGGGGGAUAACAGUCAGAAAUGGCUGCUAAUACCGCAUAAGCGCACAGAGCUGCAUGGCUCAGUGUGAAAAACUCCGGUGGUAUAAGAUGGACCCGCGUUGGAUUAGCUGGUUGGUGGGGUAACGGCCCACCAAGGCGACGAUCCAUAGCCGGCCUGAGAGGGUGAACGGCCACAUUGGGACUGAGACACGGCCCAGACUCCUACGGGAGGCAGCAGUGGGGAAUAUUGCACAAUGGGGGAAACCCUGAUGCAGCGACGCCGCGUGAAGGAAGAAGUAUCUCGGUAUGUAAACUUCUAUCAGCAGGGAAGAUAGUGACGGUACCUGACUAAGAAGCCCCGGCUAACUACGUG